rnacentral:lncRNA from 1 species
CCACACCUCUGCCUGUUUUAUUCUUUUCAUAAACUUCACUGGCUUUGGGCAUGUGAUGAAAUUCACUCAUCUUCUAUUGGUUGUUUCUCCCCAUGAAAGGUGAACCACACAUUCCUUGGAAACUGAUAAAUGUCUACAACAGCUUCUGGUACCCAGUGUCUCAGUCACUUUACAAAGAUCAUGGAUGUACCUUCCAGUUUGCUUCGGGUUUGCAGCCACCACUCAGGAGACCCUGCAUUCCCUACUUGUCCCCCUUGCCAGCAAACAUCAGAGAGGAGCAGGCUGGAGCCAGAAGUAGCAGGCACUGGGCCUCAGCAGCUGACUGGCCAGGUGAGUUCCAUCGGCUGUGCGGUGGCUGGGAUCUAUUUUCUUCUGUACAUAAAGAUAAGCCGAGGGCUCCUUCCGAAAGCAAACACCCUUAAUUUGAGCCAUUGCCUCCCUAUGAUUCACCGGAUGGAAUUUACGAUGGGGCUUUACCCCUUCCUGUAAGAGUAGCAAAUGGGUCAAUCCUAAUAAGAAAUAUCAAUCCGUGACAGGUGCAUUUUGAAGACCACAGGACAAGGUUUCCUAAGAAGGCCACUGCCCUUUGAUAGUGUUUUGCCUGCGUGAGUGAACGAAGACUGGUUCUGAUGGGUUGAAAAGUCUUCCCGCUGGGAGCAAACCAAGUCUCUGCAUGUGCCAGUAUCUACAUUGCCCCUUUCAGCAGUGAGAAUCCAGACAAGACUUCACGAAUGCCUUGCCGGGCAGCUGGGGUGCAUUCAAAGCUGAGAAACUACCCUAAUCUUUGCAAAACCAACAAAGAUAAGCAACAGCUUUAGCCGGCUGAACCGAGCUGACGCUCUGCUGCACAAUGCCCUUGUGACCAUUAUCCCAGCUCUGACCGCCGCAUGGCACUGCUCGAGCAUGCUGGCAAUAUUUAACAAGCCAUCUGUCUUGUACCUGUUCCCACCGCAGAAGAGGCUUUGUCUGAAGCCUGUCCUCUUCCAGAAGGCUUGUCAUCUGCUCAACGGCAAGUGAAGCCCUCAUCCUGUUGUAUCAGUUUCAUAACUGCCCUAAGCGUGGUGUGUCUUACCGUGCAGCUUCAGUCAUAGGACAUCUCUGAAAGGGGGACCAGGACUGGUGUCUGCCUGUCUCUCUACUGUUAGUAUAUGUGAAAGCCAAGCUCUCCCUCAUCUUCUUUGGGGGAAAUGUUUUCAAACCUUGCAACUCCCUUUUUAUUUAUUUAUUUUUUAACUUCAUUCUUUCUUGGUUAGUCAUUGUUAAAUUGGGAUUUGCUCUCUGACUUCCCUGCUUUCUCUCAGAUAUAUAUAAAACAUUUCCUGUCAAAAUUUGUAAUUCAGACCUGCCAGGAGUUUAUAGAUUAGGUUAUCUAAAUAUUUGGCUGAGCCAGUUGAAUGUAAUGUUUCCAUAGAUGGAAAAGAGUCACAUACCAGCAUUUCCAUGAUUUCACAUGUUUGACCUCAUGAAAUUGCUAGAGUUUUCAAAAGAUAGAUACGUAACAGUUAAAUCUUUGUUUAAAAGUAUAUUGUGAAGAAAUUGGAGCUAAAGAUGUGGCUAGUGGUUAACAAUGCUUACUUCUUUCACAAAGGACCCAGGUGUGAUUACCAGCACCCAGUAUUGGUGGCUCACAGCCACCGGUGGCUCUAGUUGCAGGGCUGCAAUGCCUUCUUCUAAGACUCCACAGGCAUCUGUGCUUACAUGCACAUCCUCACCCAGAGAAACACACACAUACACAUAGUUAAAAAUAAAAUUGAUCUUCAGAACAAUAGAACAACAUUCUCAUUAAGGAGUCCGUUUCUCCCUUUAUCCUGUUUUGUCUGCCUGACUUUGAUGAUGACUUCGCAUACCCCAGCUUCUGUUUGGAGAUGUUGAAAUGAGGAUGAGACUGUGGCUGUCUCAGACACCUCCACAAUGUUAUCAGAAGGCAUCAGCUCAGGCGACAGAGACAUCCUUGAAAAGGACCUUCAGUCCUUGCCCUUAGACAGCAAACUGGGAUGACAACACAGUUGCUUCCUGCUGUGGCCUCCCUGGGACUGACUCCCAGGACAAGACUCUCAUUAUCUAUCCAGAAAACUGGGUUUGACCAGAGACAGACAGCAGGUAGACUCAUUGAUAUGGGUGUAGUUGAAAACACUUUGGCUUAGAGCUUAUAGUUUAUUCCAAAAGAUGUAUCCACUGCCAUUCCUCCAGCCAGUGGUCUAGCUUGAUGGCCUGCGUUCACUAGAACUAUACAGUGGGCAUGUCCUAAACACAGUCUUACUUAAAAGUAGACAGGGUGAAUGGAAGGAAUGUGUUAAUAGGUACCCAGAUCUCUUUCUAGAGAUUUGGAAAAUAGUCUCCUUUUAGAGGAAAGCAGCCUGACAAGCUUAAUUCCAACUGGGCAUGAAGGAAAGACUUUAGAUAAAACCAGAGGUAGGGGAACCUCUUCAGAUUCUCCCAUUCAUAAUCUCCAGGCAAAGGAAAUUCACUUUGGACAUAUAUUAGCAAACUGAGGGUCACAACUGGGAAUGCCAGAAAAGUGGAAUUUGUGCAUGGUUUCCUACCAUUUUUUAACGUUAAUUUUAGCAUGCAGUAUAUGUAUAGCAUGCAAUAGAAUGUUAAGUUCUAUUAUGUACCUUUGUGUGUGUGUGUGUGUGUGUGUGUGUGUGUGUGUGUGUGUGUGUGUCUGUCUGUCUGUCUGCCUGUCUGUCUGCCUGCCUGCCUGCCUGUCUGUGCUUUUCAUGA